AGCGCAGGCGGGAAGACAAGUUGGAAGUGAAAUCUAUGGGCUCAACCCAUAAACUGCUUUCAAAACUGUUUUUCUUGAGUAGUGCAGAGGUAGGCGGAAUUCCUGGUGUAGCGGUGGAAUGCGUAGAUAUCGGGAGGAACACCAGUGGCGAAGGCGGCCUACUGGGCACCAACUGACGCUGAGGCUCGAAAGUGUGGGUAGCAAACA
rnacentral:rRNA from 1 species